rnacentral:rRNA from 1 species
CGUGAUUCUCGUCGAUCAUGAUGUGUAUCGAGAGGAGUCAGAUAUCCGAGAGAGCGUAGAUAGUAUGUAGUAUGCUACAGCGCGUCUACGAUCGGAGAUACGCCACCUGAUGAGACCGGCCAGCUCUACGGAGCAGCGUAGGAUUUCGCAAUGGCGAAGCUGACGAGCACGCGGUGAUGAGAAGGCUUCGGGUGUAAGCUCUGUGUCAGGAAGAAGAUCAGGAUAGAAAUGAUCUGAAGUGACGGUACCUGACCAGAAAGCCACGGCUAACUACGUGCCAGCAGCCGCGGUAAUACGUAGGUGGCAAGCGUUAUCCGGAAUUAUUGGGCGUAAAGGGUGCGUAGGCGGUUUAGUGUGUCUUAUGUGAAAUCUCAGGGCUUAACCCUGGGCUGCAUAAGAAACUAUUAGACUAGAGUGCAGGAGAGGGCAACGGAAUUCCAUGUGUAGCGGUAAAAUGCGUAGAUAUAUGGAGGAACACCGGUGGCGAAGGCGGUUGCCUGGCCUGUAACUGACGCUGAAGCACGAAAGCGUGGGGAGCAAAUAGGAUUAGAUACCCUAGUAGUCCACGCUGUAAACGAUGAAUACUAAGUGUUGGGAUAAAACUCAGUGCUGCAGUUAACGCAAUAAGUAUUCCGCCUGGGGAGUACGCACGCAAGUGUGAAACUCAAAGGAAUUGACGGGACCCCGCACAAGCGGUGGAUUAUGUUGUUUAAUUCGACGCAACGCGAAAAACCUUACCAGGCCUUGACAUACCGGACAAAACCAUAGAGAUAUGGCGGAGGAUGAAGGAUACAGGUGGUGCAUGGUUGUCGUCAGCUCGUGUCGUGAGAUGUUGGGUUAAGUCCCGCAACGAGC